rnacentral:rRNA from 1 species
GCUCAGAUUGAACGCUGGCGGCAGGCCUAACACAUGCAAGUCGAACGGUAACAGGAAGCAGCUUGCUGCUUUGCUGACGAGUGGCGGACGGGUGAGUAAUGUCUGGGAAACUGCCUGAUGGAGGGGGAUAACUACUGGAAACGGUGGCUAAUACCGCAUAACGUCGCAAGACCAAAGAGGGGGACCUUCGGGCCUCUUGCCAUCAGAUGUGCCCAGAUGGGAUUAGCUUGUUGGUGAGGUAACGGCUCACCAAGGCGACGAUCCCUAGCUGGUCUGAGAGGAUGACCAGCCACACUGGAACUGAGACACGGUCCAGACUCCUACGGGAGGCAGCAGUGGGGAAUAUUGCACAAUGGGCGCAAGCCUGAUGCAGCCAUGCCGCGUGUAUGAAGAAGGCCUUCGGGUUGUAAAGUACUUUCAGCGGGGAGGAAGGUGUUGUGGUUAAUAACCGCAGCAAUUGACGUUACCCGCAGAAGAAGCACCGGCUAACUCCGUGCCAGCAGCCGCGGUAAUACGGAGGGUGCAAGCGUUAAUCGGAAUUACUGGGCGUAAAGCGCACGCAGGCGGUCUGUCAAGUCGGAUGUGAAAUCCCCGGGCUCAACCUGGGAACUGCAUUCGAAACUGGCAGGCUUGAGUCUUGUAGAGGGGGGUAGAAUUCCAGGUGUAGCGGUGAAAUGCGUAGAGAUCUGGAGGAAUACCGGUGGCGAAGGCGGCCCCCUGGACAAAGACUGACGCUCAGGUGCGAAAGCGUGGGGAGCAAACAGGAUUAGAUACCCUGGUAGUCCACGCCGUAAACGAUGUCUACUUGGAGGUUGUGCCCUUGAGGCGUGGCUUCCGGAGCUAACGCGUUAAGUAGACCGCCUGGGGAGUACGGCCGCAAGGUUAAAACUCAAAUGAAUUGACGGGGGCCCGCACAAGCGGUGGAGCAUGUGGUUUAAUUCGAUGCAACGCGAAGAACCUUACCUGGUCUUGACAUCCACAGAACUUUCCAGAGAUGGAUUGGUGCCUUCGGGAACUGUGAGACAGGUGCUGCAUGGCUGUCGUCAGCUCGUGUUGUGAAAUGUUGGGUUAAGUCCCGCAACGAGCGCAACCCUUAUCCUUUGUUGCCAGCGGUCCGGCCGGGAACUCAAAGGAGACUGCCAGUGAUAAACUGGAGGAAGGUGGGGAUGACGUCAAGUCAUCAUGGCCCUUACGACCAGGGCUACACACGUGCUACAAUGGCGCAUACAAAGAGAAGCGACCUCGCGAGAGCAAGCGGACCUCAUAAAGUGCGUCGUAGUCCGGAUUGGAGUCUGCAACUCGACUCCAUGAAGUCGGAAUCGCUAGUAAUCGUGGAUCAGAAUGCCACGGUGAAUACGUUCCCGGGCCUUGUACACACCGCCCGUCACACCAUGGGAGUGGGUUGCAAAAGAAGUAGGUAGCUUAACCUUCGG